UACAGAGGUCCCAAGCGUUGUUCGGAUUCAUUGGGCGUAAAGGGUGCGUAGGCGGGGCUUUAAGUCAGGGGUGAAAUCCUGGAGCUCAACUCCAGAACUGCCUUUGAUACUGAGGAUCUUGAGUUCGGGAGAGGUGAGUGGAACUGCGAGUGUAGAGGUGAAAUUCGUAGAUAUUCGCAAGAACACCAGUGGCGAAGGCGGCUCACUGGCCCGAUACUGACGCUGAGGCACGAAAGCGUGGGGAGCAAACAGG
rnacentral:rRNA from 1 species